UCCAAUAUUCUCAAGUGCCCAGUUGGCACCAAAGGCAACAUUAUUCUCUAGCGUCAACAUAAAAUCACUAGAAUGAUUUCUGAAAUUGACCCUCGGAAUCUGCCGGCAAAAUUCUGAAACUGACCGAAGGCUUUCCAGGGUUCAAUGUUGUUUCUGGAAACCCUUGCGAGGGACCGAAGGGGUGGGCUGAAAGAGCAGAAGAAGAAGAAGUCAACGAGGUUAGUUUUCCUCUGAUGAUCAAUGAGGAAGAUGAUGGAAACCUGUUUCUGCCUAUGUUCUCUGUUUUCCGCAUUCCGACUUUUCUUUCCAGACAGCCUAAAAUUGCUUCUGUUGGAAGUGUUUAUAGCCGAACUGUUCUCCAAAAGCAUGCCAUGUUGCAUCUCUGGAUUGAGCAUUCAUGCUCAGAUGAUACUCUUAAGGAAUAAUCU